AUCCUCUGUAGUUCGUGAACGUGAUGACUGGGUGUUCGUGCACAUGUGUGAGAUGUCCCACCCUUGAACCUUGUUACAGACGUUGGUCCAUUACCCAUCUGACA
ensembl:snoRNA